UACGUAGGGUGCAGGCGUUAAUCGGAAUUACUGGGCGUAAAGCGUGCGCAGGCGGUUUCUUAAGUCAGAUGUGAAAGCCCCGGGCUUAACCUGGGAAUGGCAUUUGGGACUGCAAGGCUUGAGUGCGGCAGAGGAGACUGGAAUUCCUGGUGUAGCAGUGAAAUGCGUAGAUAUCAGGAGGAAUACCGAUGGCGAAGGCAGGUCUCUGGGCUGACACUGACGCUCAUGCACGAAAGCGUGGGGAGCAAACAGG
rnacentral:rRNA from 1 species